GAUGAACGCUGGCGGCGUGCCUAAUACAUGCAAGUCGAGCGAACAGACGAGGAGCUUGCUCCUCUGACGUUAGCGGCGUACGGGUGAGUAACACGUGGAUAACCUACCUAUAAGACUGGGAUAACUUCGGGAAACCGGAGCUAAUACCGUAUAAUAUAUUGAACCGCAUGGUUCAAUAGUGAAAGACGGUUUUGCUGUCACUUAUAGAUGGAUCCGCGCCGCAUUAGCUAGUUGGUAAGGUAACGGCUUACCAAGGCAACGAUGCGUAGCCGACCUGAGAGGGUGAUGGGCCACACUGGAACUGAGACACGGUCCAGACGCCGACGGGAGGCAGCAGUAGGGAAUCUUCCGCAAUGGGCGAAAGCCUGACGGAGCAACGCCGCGUGAGUGAUGAAGGUCUUCGGAUCGUAAAACUCUGUUAUUAGGGAAGAACAAAUGUGUAAGUAACUAUGCACGUCUUGACGGUACCUAAUCAGAAAGCCACGGCUAACUACGUG
rnacentral:rRNA from 1 species